UCCAAUAUUUUUUUGUUUAUCUUAUUAGUAUAUCUUUUUAAAAAAAUUAACAUUUUUUAUGUUAUAAUAUUUUGACAUAAUUCAUAAAAGUUGCAGUGCUUUUUUUUUUUUAAUUCUUUGAAGUCUAUAAUUUUUUUUCUUUUCAAUUUAAUUAAAUUCUUUCAUUUUUGGCCAAAUGCUCAAUUAAUCAUUUUUAAUUGCUUAAAAAUCUUCAAUAAAUUUACCAUUUUAUCUAUACUACUAUAGAUUAAAAUAAUCCCUAAAUGAGUGUUUAUGUGAUAAUUGUCUAAUAUUAUAAAAUUAUUAUUUUACCCUUAGUCCUUGUUAAUAUUACAAACUGUUACAAAAUUUCCAUUUUACCCUUAAACAAAGCAAUACAUAAAUUUAAUUUCCGGGCAUAAACAAAAGUUCGAGCAACUCAAUUAAAAAAAUUUUCAACAAUUCAAACAAGAUCUAAGGUGGCGCAAAAGAAUUAGGUGAAGUUGUCAACAAUAGCACCAUAUGGCUUUAUAUAUGUGUAAAUAGUAAAUAAUGAAGAUUAAAGGUAUUGAUUCUUUCCACAAAUCUAAAUAUUUGAAGGCAAUUCCUUUACACACAUCUAGAGUCAUAUUGUGGAUGUAAAUACAUUGGGGUAAAAAGUGUAUAGGGUGGUGGAGAUGAGAUUUUGGGGCGUUUUAAACAGGGGAUUCAAGUCGAGAUCUAGGAAAAUUAUAACAUUUUUUUUUUUAAGAAGCAAGUUGGAAAAGUGAAAAAAGGGUUUGAAACGGAGUUUUUGGGUUUUUUAUUUUUGGAUUUUUCAUUGCGCGUGAGUUACGGCCAAAGGGGUUUGCCGGCAACUUUUGGCUGGUGGAUGAGAUCCGGAAAAGAUUGAGGUUUUCGACAACCAAUUGCCGAAAUCUAGGUUACUUUGGCACGAUGGAAUUCAAUUGUAAUCUAAGUCUUCCUAAAUUUUUUUUGGAUGGCAUUAGAUUGGAUUAAGAU
rnacentral:lncRNA from 1 species